AUGCGCGCACUUCUCAUUCCCUGCGCCUCCUGCGAGCAGACGGCCCAGGGCAUCAGAAGCGCUGGGCUCCACGUUCCCGAAGUCGGCCCAGCUUCCGAGUCGGACAGGGGACGCGGCCCCGCCAGGGAGCAGAGCGGAGGCUGGACGCGGCGCUGCGCUCGCUUUCACACCUCUCUGCCGAAUCAAAGCACCUCCCCACGGCCCACCGGCCGCCGGCGCGCACCCCGCUCCGGGUUUUUCUCCUGCGGGAACCCGGCCCGCCUGCGGCCCGGCGCGGGCAACGCGGAGCCCCGCGAAAGGCCCAAAUCGGCAGCGCGCGCCACGCCGGGCGCGGGGGGCGGACGCCGGCUGGUUUCCUGCCGGGAAGGGGCGCGGGGUGCCGCGGGGUCCCAGCCGCGCCGCCAGCCCCCGGCACCGGCCGCAGCGCGAGCAGCUCCCGCGGAUCGGCCCGAAGCAGCGCGCGGGGCUGCCUUUCGCUGCGCCCUUUCCGCAGCGCCCAGAAAUCAUCCGGACUCGUUGGCCAAAGCGCUACGGCCACGGGGAAGCGAUGCCUUCUGCACUACCCGCAGCGCUCUGAAGAGGGAGUCUAUGCUCAAGCUAAACGAAGCCGACACCCAAAGCUCCGCCGGCACCGCCGAGCGGGACGGGGCCGCGCACGGUUGGCACCGGCGGUUCCGAGCGCGGCGAGGUGCGCGCAUGGAGCGGCAGCGCUCCGCAGCCGAGCCGGCAGGAACGCAGCGCGUGUCGCUCCCGGGCAGGGACCCCGAGCAAGGUGUCACUGACCGCAAGCCCAGCAUCUGCGGCCCGCGUUUCCACCGCAUUCGCACCUGCUCAAGACCAGCGGCAGCAACGCAGAGCUCUGCCCGCACCGCCGGGCAAUUCGGGCAGCUCGUCACAGCCCCCGCAACCCAUCCCCGCUGCCUGGCAGAUUCCAUUCCCCUGGCUCGACUUACUUUACCACGUGCCAAAGAUGCACUUCCCAAGCUUUAUUUGUUUUUAAAACAAAAAUCAGAGCUCGGUCAUAACUGGAAACGGCCCGGUGGAGCUGUGCUGGGCGCUGACUUUAAGGUGAACCAGACCAGACCGCAGCCAGCGGGGAUUCGCUCGGCUGCGCUCCGGGGCAGAGGCGGCACCGGGCGGCUGCACGGCACGGAAUGGCUGCGCCACUGCAGGAUGAGCGAGCCCGGGCGCGGGGCAGGCCGCUGA
rnacentral:lncRNA from 1 species